rnacentral:rRNA from 1 species
ACCAAGGCUUCGACGGGUAGCCGGCCUGAGAGGGCGACCGGCCACAUUGGGACUGAGAUACGGCCCAAACUCCUACGGGAGGCAGCAGUGGGGAAUAUUGCACAAUGGACGGAAGUCUGAUGCAGCAACGCCGCGUGCGGGAUGACGGCCUUCGGGUUGUAAACCGCUUUCAUCCAUGACGAAGCUUUUGUGACGGUAGUGGGUAAAGAAGCACCGGCUAACUACGUGCCAGCAGCCGCGGUGAUACGUAGGGUGCGAGCGUUGUCCGGAUUUAUUGGGCGUAAAGAGCUUGUAGGCGGUUUGUCGCGUCGGGAGUGAAAACUCGGAGCUUAACUUUGAGCUUGCUUUCGAUACGGGCUGACUUGAGGGAGGUAGGGGAGAAUGGAAUUCCUGGUGGAGCGGUGGAAUGCGCAGAUAUCAGGAGGAACACCGGUGGCGAAGGCGGUUCUCUGGACCUUUCCUGACGCUGAGAAGCGAAAGCGUGGGGAGCGAACAGGCUUAGAUACCCUGGUAGUCCACGCCGUAAACGGUGGGUACUAGGUGUGGGGGACAUUCCACGUUCUCCGUGCCGUAGCUAACGCAUUAAGUACCCCGCCUGGGGAGUACGGCCGCAAGGCUAAAACUCAAAGGAAUUGACGGGGCCCCGCACAAGCGGCGGAGCAUGCGGAUUAAUUCGAUGCAACGCGAAGAACCUUACCUGGGUUUGACAUAUGCCGGGAGCGUUCAGAGAUGGGCGUGCCUUUUUGGUCGGUUUACAGGUGGUGCAUGGCUGUCGUCAGCUCGUGUCGUGAGAUGUUGGGUUAAGUCCCGCAACGAGCGCAACCC